UUAUUCUUGGUGAUCAAAACUGUCCCUAUUGAUCAGAAUAGAAGAAAGAAAGAAAAAACAAGAACGUGAUGCAAAUGAGCAAAAAAAGAAGAAUAUGAUCGCACUAAAGAGCUGCAGAAGAAGACUGAAGGAAUGAUGGCGAAGUUCAUCAGCAGAAGUGACAGCAUGGACAGUCUCAUCAACUUUACAGAAGAUCCAGAUGGAAAUGCUGUGAUUCCUGAGAAGAAAGACCAGACCAGGCCGGUUCUGCUGGGAAAACUGGAUCUGGGCAGAAUGGAACAAGAAACAGCAUCAUCAUCAAUGAAAUAUCAUUCAGAAACCAGUGAAAGGAUCAACAAGAAGAUCUCAGUGAUCAACAAUAAACUCAUUAAAGUCCUUUCUGGAUGAUAAUGAGUCUGCCGCCGAUUUCCCACCAAUCAGGAAAACAGGGAAGAUGGUGGAGAAAAACGGAGGAACUCUUGUGUUCGUUCAUUUUAAUGUUUCAUUCAUUUCUUUAUUUAACCAGGUUUAAAAAAAAAAAAAAAAAAAACAUCUCUUUGAGAUUAAAAUCUCUUUUGCAAGUGUGACCUGGCCAAGAAAUCAGCAACAAACAACAUAGUAUAUACAAGUUUACAUCAUAACACAACCACAAAUCAAAGAUCACAACAACAAUUCACCAAAGCAUAAAACACACAGCUUUAGAACGCUUUGUAGAUUAUUCCAAGCCAAAAUAGCAUUAUAUCCAAAACCCUUUUUCCCUAGCUCUGUUCGAACCAGAGGAACUUUAAAAUAUAUCAGAUCGUUUGAGCGUAGUUUGUAGCAUACCUUUGGUUUAGAAAAACUCAGAGACAGAUAAGAUGGAGUUAGACCACAAUUAGACUUAUAAAUAAAACAAUACAAUUAGAACUUCUCUGGGUAUACAACAAUAGUAACUCAGCUUUCUCAUUUAAAGUACAAUGAUGUGUUUGAUAACUGCAACCAGGAAUAAAACGUAAAACACUAUGAAAAACAGGAUCAAGUUUUUUUUAGAUAAUAUCCGGGGCAUUCAUAUACAGCAGAUCACCAUAAUCCAAAAGUGGCAAGCAGGUAGCAGAUACCAAACAUUUGCUUGCAUUAAAAGAAAAUAAAAAUCUAUUUCUGUAGUAAAACCGCAAUUUGAGCUUAAGUUUUGAAAUUAAUUUAUCAAUAUGUAGCUUAAAAAAGUUGAACUGACUGUCAAAUAGGAUGCCCAGGUACUUAUAACUUACAACAUAUUCUGUUUUUGUUCCCUGGAAAGAUAUAAUGUCAGGAAGAUUACUUGGAUUGUUUUUCAUGGGUUUAUUGAUUUCAGUGGCGUAUGGGACACCUGUGCGUGGGGCCCCGUCGCAGGACAUUCUAAAAGGCAGUGCUUUGAGAGACUGCAGAAGACGCGAGGCAUGAGCGCAAAGAGUGCAGUGGAGCGGACUUAACAUUCUACACGACGUGACAAAGUGACAGUGUCAGUACAGUUCGUCAUAAAUAGAACGAGGCAUCAGUUUACUGAUCGGAUCGUGUCGCAUCGCGCAGCAUCCAGUGUAGAAAACAUCACUGGGUUCUAUUGUCUUUUGUUGGAUCACGCCAAUCGUGUCCGAUGUAGACAUGGCGUGAGUUUUUUUAAUGGGUUAUGUUAUUGUCCUGCUUGUUUAAAAUGUUUUUUUGAAAUAUCUGUAUUGACUGCAUGAUCAUAUCAUCAUAUUAUUUACUGCCAUACAAGCCACAAAGUAAAGCUUGGUGGAUCGCAUGAGGCUCAAAAGCUGUGCAAUGAGUAACACUGCUGUAGACCUAUGACAUACUCUAAAGCCGACUACAAAAUUACACUGCUAUUCAGGAACAGACAUUACCGUGGUUUAGAUCAUACUUAGUAGACCGUUACCAUUUUGUCUACUUAAAUGGUGAAAAAUCCAAGUUAACAUCAGUAAAUUUUUAUAAGUGUUAGGCCCUCUGUUAUUUUCAAUAUACAUGUUGCUGCUUAGCAACAUUAUUAGAAAACAUGGAAUUAGUUUCCACUGCUAUGCCGAUGAUACUUAGUUAUAUAUUUAAUACUGACCAGAUUAAAUCUCUAAACUAUCCAAGUUAACAGAAUGUGUUAAAGAUAUAAAACAUUGGAUGACCAGUAAUUUUCUUCUAGUAAAUUCAGACUGAGCUAUUACUUAUUGCACCAAAAACCUGCACACAGAAUCUCUUAGCUAUGCUAGAGUCCUUACUAGGUCAAUAAAAUAUGAUCAUAUUACCCCAAUUUGAUCAUCUCUACACUGGUUAUCUAUUAAGUUCCGUAUUGAUUUCAAAAUAUUGCUACUGACCUAUAAGGCACUAAAUGGUUUAGCUCCUGUAUAUUUAACUGACCUUUUUAUGCCCUAUAAUCCAUCACACUUUUUUGGGUCACAAAACUCUGCACUUUUAGUAGAACCUAGAAUAUCUAAGUCCACUGAAGGAGAGAGAUAAAUUUCCCAUCUGGCUCCUAAACUCUGGAAUAGUCUUUCUGAUAAUGUUCGGGGCUCAAACUCGCUCUGUUUAAAUCUAGAUUAAAGACACAUCUAUUCAGAAAAAGCAUUCAUAUAAUGAAACUCAAUCUCACCCUUGUUUCCAGUUAGAUCAGAUAAAAGU